rfam:Dethiosulfovibrio salsuginis strain TSBA 82 genome assembly, contig: Ga0105850_111
CGUAUACUCGACCUGCCGUCGUGUAGUAUGAAUGGGGCGACAGGACGUCGCCCCAAGCCGAGGGGGCACAGGACGUGCCCUCCGAGGCGGUUCGUACGGAACAGGCAGGUCGAGUAUACG